rnacentral:rRNA from 1 species
AGUGAACGCUGGCGGUAGGCCUAACACAUGCAAGUCGAACGGCAGCACAGUAAGAGCUUGCUCUUACGGGUGGCGAGUGGCGGACGGGUGAGGAAUACAUCGGAAUCUACUUUUUCGUGGGGGAUAACGUAGGGAAACUUACGCUAAUACCGCAUACGACCUACGGGUGAAAGCAGUGGAUCUUCGGACCUUGCGCGAUUGAAUGAGCCGAUGUCGGAUUAGCUAGUUGGCGGGGUAAAGGCCCACCAAGGCGACGAUCCGUAGCUGGUCUGAGAGGAUGAUCAGCCACACUGGACCUGUGACACGGUCCAGACUCCUCCGGGGGGCAGCAGUGGGGAAUAUUGGACAAUGGGCGCAGGCCUGAUCCAGCCAUCCCGCGUGGGUGAAGAAGGCCUUCGGGUUGUAAAGCCCUUUUGUUGGGAAAGAAAAGCAGCAGGUUAAUACCCCGCUGUUCUGACGGUACCCAAAGAAUAAGCACCGGCUAACUUCGUG